AAUUCGGCUUAGAGUUUGAUCCUGGCUCAGAACGAACGCUGGCGGCAUGCCUAACACAUGCAAGUCGAACGAACCCUUCGGGGUUAGUGGCGCACGGGUGCGUAACGCGUGGGAAUCUGCCCUUUGCUUCGGAAUAACAGUUAGAAAUGACUGCUAAUACCGGAUGAUGACUUCGGUCCAAAGAUUUAUCGGCAAAGGAUGAGCCCGCGUAGGAUUAGGUAGUUGGUGGGGCAAAGGCCUACCAAGCCGACGAUCCUUAGCUGGUCUGAGAGGAUGAUCAGCCACACUGGGACUGAGACACGGCCCAGACUCCUACGGGAGGCAGCAGUGGGGAAUAUUGGACAAUGGGCGCAAGCCUGAUCCAGCAAUGCCGCGUGAGUGAUGAAGGCCUUCGGGUUGUAAAGCUCUUUUACCAGGGAUGUAUAAUGACAGUACCUGGAGAAUAA
rnacentral:rRNA from 1 species